UACGUAGGGGGCAAGCGUUAUCCGGAUUUACUGGGUGUAAAGGGAGCGUAGACGGCAUGGCAAGCCAGAUGUGAAAUACCGGGGCUCAACCCCGGGACUGCAUUUGGAACUGUUAAGCUGGAGUGUCGGAGAGGCAGGCGGAAUUCCUAGUGUAGCGGUGAAAUGCGUAGAUAUUAGGAGGAACACCAGUGGCGAAGGCGGCCUGCUGGACGAUAACUGACGUUGAGGCUCGAAAGCGUGGGGAGCAAACAGG
rnacentral:rRNA from 1 species